rnacentral:rRNA from 1 species
CAAUAGCGUAUAUUAAAGUUGUUGCAGUUAAAAAGCUCGUAGUUGAAUUUUUGCUUGCCGCCGAUGUCGGAACUUCCGUACGUUCGGCGGCGUGCAUCCUUGGGUGGAACCUGUGUGGCAUUAGGUUGUCGUGCAGGGGAUGCUCAUCGUUUACUGUGAAAAAAUUAGAGUGUUCAAAGCAGGCUUACGCCGUUGAAUAUAUUAGCAUGGAAUAAUAAGACAGGACCUUGGUACUAUUUUGUUGGUUUGCGCACCGAGGUAAUGAUUAACAGGGACAGUUGGGGGUAUUCGUAUUCCAUUGUCAGAGGUGAAAUUCUUGGAUUUCUGGAAGACGAACUACUGCGAAAGCAUUUACCAAGGAUGUUUUCAUUAA